CACGUAGUUAGCCGGCGCUUCUUCUGCAGGUACCGUCACUUUCGCUUCUUCCCUACUGAAAGAGGUUUACAACCCGAAGGCCGUCAUCCCUCACGCGGCGUCGCUGCAUCAGGCUUCCGCCCAUUGUGCAAUAUUCCCCA
rnacentral:rRNA from 1 species